UUUUUAAUGGUUGACCUCGGAUCAGGUAGGAAUACCCGCUGAACUUAAGCAUAUCAAUAGGCCGGGAGGGAAA
rnacentral:rRNA from 1 species